AACGUGGAGUACGCUGAAUCACCUCCCUGAGCAAAAUUGGUGCUUCUGAGCUUGAGACCCGAGUUUACAGUGGGAAUAAGACAGAGGUCCUUUCUCUGUGGAACUACUUCGUGGGAUUAUACUCCGCACGAGCCUUACUUUCCUCUAGAUGUACCGGGCUUCCUCGAGCACCAUCGGGGCCAGAACAGAGAAGGAAGGAAGGAUAAAGGGAAUCCAGCAAAGCGAUUUAAGGAUGAUGUUUAAAAAAUGAACUCAAAUCAUGGGUAAAGGUAAAAGUGGGAAGAAAAAAAAAAAAAAAGGAAAGUGUACUGAAAGCAGCAAUACGAAGAAAAUUUGAAGAACAGAA